GUGAUUGUGAUAGACCCAGGAAAUCUGGUCUGACACCCUUUUAAACUGCAGUUGGAGGAGGCUGAGAAAGUGCAGCACCUUUUGUUCUCUGGUGUCAGCCCCCCAGAACCUCUUCUUUGAGAAACUUGUGCAGUUCCUGGCCAAGGAGGUACCUACUGCCAGCGACUACUACCAAGAACAAGCAGCUUCCAAAACUGAAUGGUGGGCAGAGUGAUUUUUAUCUGCUCACCGUUAUCUCCUCUAUUUUAUGAGCAGCUCCUUGUAUUUCCUUGUGGUUUGUUUCACAGGAUUCAGUGAACAUGUUCUAAGCAGCAGAGGGUCCUGGCAGUUUGACCCUGUGGGGAAUUCCCAGACUGACAUGGGGCCUCAGUAAAGGGAGUUUUUGAGAUAAGGCGGGGGUAUAGAGAAUGUACUUUGGGACAGCACCAGAAUGAAAAGUAAGCAAACCCAGGCA
rnacentral:lncRNA from 1 species